AUGCAUAUCAUCUCAUUUUUUUUAGUAAUGUUAAAAAUUGUGUUUUGUUACAAAUCUCAAAAAGUUCAGUGUGGCUCUGACGUGUCUUUACGAUGUGACGUUCCUCUCCUGUCGAAAUCCUCCACAUUGCACUGGGAGAAAGAUGGAGAACAAACACCCAACACCACUCUGAUGUACAACAACUCUGCCUACAUCAUCUUACACACCGUUGAUGAACGCAGUGAAGGGAAUUAUUACUGUAGAUUGAUGGAAAAUGGAAGCGUACAAACUGUUGGGAUUCACACACUUAAUGUUACUUCAUAUUCACAGAAUAAAAUUCAUACAAUUUACAGGCAAAAUGGCAAUAAUAGUGAUGUAUCACUGAUCUUCAAGUCUAAAAAGAUGUACCACAGGUUAAGGUGGACAUGGGAACAGAGCCCUAAAUCUCAGAUUGAUCUGAUAGCUGUAGAAAAAGGAAGAGAAGUUCAAAUAAAAGGACCAAUUAAACCAGGAAGAAAAUCUUCUACUACAUACACUGGUCAUUUUUUUAUCUUUCACAUCUCACCUGUGAACUUCAAUUAUAGUGGGAGAUACAGGUGUAUUACUGAAACAUCAACUUACACAACCACAAUACUACGCACGAUCAGAGGUUUGUAACAAAUUUACAUUGUUUUCUCAAUUACAUGCACCAUUUUGUUCUCAGUUGUUUAAAGGAAUGUUUGCAUUUCAAUAAUAUUUCUUAACAAUUAACAAUUUUGUAUUGAUGCAACAAUGUUUAGAGAGAUGGUUGGGUGCAAUUCAGUGAAUGAGAAUUAGUUAAACAACUAACAUCGCGUGUAGUGCAUUUAAGUUGUGCUGAACCUGUAAUACAUUCCUUUAUUUUUAUAGAUGUUAAUCAAUAUAUUUCUCCAAAUGUAAAAUCUCAUUGAUUACCUGUGAGGUAUCUGAAGUAACUGAUUCAGUGACGCUGGUCUGGUUUAGGAUGGAGGGGAACAGAGGAGUGCUGGUCAAACAGCAAAUUAUGACUGAGAAAAACAACAUGUUACGUCUCACAGUGAAUCUAGCCAGCUAUGAAACAGACCCGCUGCACUGGCAGUGUGCAGUUUUUACUGAGAAUACACUCAGAGCUCUGGCCCCUAUAACAAUCAGUCGUACCUCAUCAAAUACAAAUGCUCCAACAGAAAGCUCAAAUGUAACAGACCAAGGUCAUAUUUUUGAACCAUUAAUAUACAAUAUUUUUUAUUUUAACACAGAUAGAAUUCUCAAAAUAUAAAUGUAAAAAUAAAAUGUUUCACUGUGUAAUCA
ensembl:lncRNA